AACGUAGGACGCAAGCGUUAUCCGGAGUUACUGGGCGUAAAGCGCGUGCAGGCGGCUCGAAACGUCUGAUGUGAAAUCUCCUCGCUCAACGGGGAGAGGCCAUUGGAAACGGUCGAGCUGGAGGGCAGUAGAGGUAGGCGGAAUUCCGGGUGGAGUGGUGAAAUGCGUAGAGAUCCGGAGGAACACCAGAGGCGAAGGCGGCCUACUGGGCUGCACCUGACGCUGAGCCGCGAAAGCCAGGGGAGCGAACGGG
rnacentral:rRNA from 1 species